rnacentral:rRNA from 1 species
UACGUAGGGGGCAAGCGUUGUCCGGAUUUAUUGGGCGUAAAGCGCUCGCAGGUGGUUCGUCGCGUCGUGCGUGAAAGACCCCGGCUCAACUGGGGAGGGUCGUGCGAUACGGGCGAACUGGAGGCCAGUAGGGGGAUGCGGAAUUCCGGGUGUAGUGGUGGAAUGCGUAGAGAUCCGGAAGAACACCGGUGGCGAAGGCGGCCUGCUGGGACAGUGCUGACGCUGAGGCGCGACAGCGUGGGGAGCAAACAGG